AUUGAACGCUGGCGGCAGGCCUAACACAUGCAAGUCGAGCGGAUGAAGGGAGCUCGCUCCUGGAUUCAGCGGCGGACGGGUGAGUAAUGCCUAGGAAUCUGACUGGUAGUGGGGGAUAACGUCCGUACACGGGCGCUAAUACCGCAUACGUCCUGAGGGGGAAAGUGGUGGAUCUUCGGACCUCACGCUAUCAGAUAAGCCUAGGUCGGAUUAGCUAGUUGGUGGGGUAAAGGCCUACCAAGGCGACGAUACGUAACUGGUCUGAGAGGAUGAUCAGUCACACUGGAACUGAGACACGGUCCAGACUCCUACGGGAGGCAGCAGUGGGGAAUAUUGGACAAUGGGCGAAAGCCUGAUCCAGCCAUGCCGCGUGUGUGAAGAAGGUCUUCGGAUUGUAAAGCACUUUAAGUUGGGAGGAAGGGCAGUAAGUUAAUACCUUGCUGUUUUGACGUUACCAACAGAAUAAGCACCGGCUAACUUCGUG
rnacentral:rRNA from 1 species